GACGAACGCUGGCGGCGUGCUUAACACAUGCAAGUCGAACGGAAAGGCCUGCUUUCCCUUGUGGAUUGCGGGUACUCGAGUGGCGAACGGGUGAGUAACACGUGAGUGAUCUGCCCCCAACUUGGGUAUAAGCCUGGGAAACUGGGUCUAAUUCCCGAUAGGACUGCAGGGUGGUGCCUGUGGUGGAAAACGAUUUUCUAGUGGUUGGGGAUGAGCUCGCGGCCUAUCAGCUUGUUGGUGGGGUAAUGGCCUACCAAGGCGGCGACGGGUAGCCGGCCUGGGAGAGUGGACGGCAACAGUGGGACUGAGAUACGGCCAAGACGCCUACGGGAGGAAGCAGUGGGGAAUAUUGCACAAUGGGCGGAAGCCUGAUGCAGCGACGCCGAGUGGGGGAUGACGGCCUUCGGGUUGUAAACUCCUUUCGACAGCGAGGAAGCCACCUGGUUGGAAGGGUGGUGACGGUAGUGGUAGAAGAAGCACCGGCUAACUACGUG
rnacentral:rRNA from 1 species